AAACUUAGCAAUGCGCGAAAGCGUGACGAGGGAACCCCAAGUGCCGUCGGUCUUUGACUGGCGGCUUUUAGGGAGUCUAAGAAGCUCCCAGAAUCUAAGGGCUGGGCAAGACUGGUGCCAGCCGCCGCGGUAAUACCAGCAGCCCAAGUGGUGGUCGCGUUUAUUGGGCCUAGAGCGCUCGUAGCCGGGCCUGCAAGUCCCCUGUGAAAUCGGUUAGAAAACUAAUCGGCGUGCAAGGGAUACUGCUGGCCUUGGGAUCGGGAGAGGUCGGGGG
rnacentral:rRNA from 1 species